GUCGCGUCUGCUGUGAAAUCUGGGGGCUCAACCCCCAGCCUGCAGUGGGUACGGGCAGACUAGAGUGCGGUAGGGGAGAUUGGAAUUCCUGGUGUAGCGGUGGAAUGCGCAGAUAUCAGGAGGAACACCGAUGGCGAAGGCAGAUCUCUGGGCCGUAACUGACGCUGAGGAGCGAAAGCGUGGGGAGCGAACAGGAUUAGAUACCCUGGUAGUCCACGCCGUAAACGUUGGGAACUAGAUGUGGGGGCCAUUCCACGGUCUCCGUGUCGCAGCUAACGCAUUAAGUUCCCCGCCUGGGGAGUACGGCCGCAAGGCUAAAACUCAAAGGAAUUGACGGGGGCCCGCACAAGCGGCGGAGCAUGCGGAUUAAUUCGAUGCAACGCGAAGAACCUUACCAAGGCUUGACAUAUACCGGAAACGUCCAGAGAUGGUCGCCCCGCAAGGUCGGUAUACAGGUGGUGCAUGGUUGUCGUCAGCUCGUGUCGUGAGAUGUUGGGUUAAGUCCCGCAACGAGCGCAACCCUCGUUCUAUGUUGCCAGCACGUUAUGGUGGGAACUCAUAGGAGACUGCCGGGGUCAACUCGGAGGAAGGUGGGGAUGACGUCAAAUCAUCAUGCCCCUUAUGUCUUGGGCUUCACGCAUGCUACAAUGGCCGGUACAAAGGGCUGCGAUACCGUAAGGUGGAGCGAAUCCCAAAAAGCCGGUCUCAGUUCGGAUUGAGGUCUGCAACUCGACCUCAUGAAGUCGGAGUCGCUAGUAAUCGCAGAUCAGCAACGCUGCGGUGAAUACGUUCCCGGGCCUUGUACACACCGCCCGUCAAGUCAUGAAAGUCGGUAACACCCGAAGCCAGU
rnacentral:rRNA from 1 species